CACAACACUACUCUCUCUUUCCAUCCCUGCGCGUCGUGCACCUCGUUCCAUGUAUCUGUCAGCCUGUUCGUACGCGCGCGGGGCAGGAGGUGCCGUAAUUUCGUUUCCUUUGCGUCUUGACAAGGGGCGCCGCGCGCUACCCCGCCAGCUUCUGCUUCCCUGUGGCGGUCCGUGCUCUCCGUUUCAUCUCCUCAUGCAUUACUAAUUUUGUUUCACGGGGCAUUUGUAUCGUCAUGGAGAAAGAAACUUCUCCAUUCCGUCCCCGGAGUCUAUGGCCGUGAGACCUCUGGCCCGCAACGUCAUGGACAGCUACCACCGUCGUCCGGAGGACGUACGACUGCACGAGCGUCCACCCCACGGUUUGCGACAGGCGAAGGUGCACUAUGGAACGGAUUUGUGGUUUUUUGGUUCCUGAUUGCUACUGCUCUGGUUCUGGAGUAAAAUCGAUUAGUUUCCUGCCUUUUCUGGUUCAGCAUUGCAGUAUCAUUGCAAGACUUUUUUCCAUGUCCUGUCAUAUUUUUCUGUUCCAAAACCAUACACACUCUGCUGUAUAGCUUGGAUGAAAAUCACUCAAGUGUAUCUCCAUCACUUAAAGGUGUUUAACCUUGGAUUUGUGCAUAUGGUUUAUCCCUGCUCAGUUUAACUUGAUAUGGGAGUGAUGAAGCAUUUGGCUAGGCAGACAGUCUACAUCCCCAUCUACUGCCCGUAUUGUUCUUGUAUGAGCUGCAGCAUCAGCCAUUUUUCAUGUCUAAGCAGACAUUCUUGUAACUUGAGAAUUAUUAAGGAGGGAAUAAGUAAGUUUUU